GUGCCAGCAGCCGCGGUAAUACGUAGGGUCCGAGCGUUGUCCGGAGUUACUGGGCGUAAAGGGCGCGCAGGUGGCGGUGUUGGCCCGGCGUGAAAGCCCCCGGCUCAACCGGGGAGGGUCGUCGGGGACCGCACCGCUUGAGGGCGGUAGGGGCUGGUGGAAUGCCUGGUGUAGUGGUGAAAUGCGUAGAGAUCAGGCGGAACACCCGUAGCGAAGGCGGCCAGCUGGGCCGUCCCUGACACUGAGGCGCGAAGGCGUGGGGAGCGAACGGGAUUAGAAACCCUGGUAGUCC
rnacentral:rRNA from 1 species